rnacentral:rRNA from 1 species
GACGAACGCCGGCGGCGUGCCUAAUACAUGCAAGUCGAACGCUUUUUCUUUCACCGGAGCUUGCUCCACCGAAAGAAAAAGAGUGGCGAACGGGUGAGUAACACGUGGGUAACCUGCCCAUCAGAAGGGGAUAACACUUGGAAACAGGUGCUAAUACCGUAUAACACUAUUUUCCGCAUGGAAGAAAGUUGAAAGGCGCUUUUGCGUCACUGAUGGAUGGACCCGCGGUGCAUUAGCUAGUUGGUGAGGUAACGGCUCACCAAGGCAACGAUGCAUAGCCGACCUGAGGGGGUGAUCGGCCACACUGGGACUGAGACACGGCCCAGACUCCUACGGGAGGCAGCAGUAGGGAAUCUUCGGCAAUGGACGAAAGUCUGACCGAGCAACGCCGCGUGAGUGAAGAAGGUUUUCGGAUCGUAAAACUCUGUUGUUAGAGAAGAACAAGGAUGAGAGUAGAACGUUCAUCCCUUGACGGUAUCUAACCAGAAAGCCACGGCUAACUACGUGCCAGCCGCCGCCGUAA